GUGCCAGCAGCCGCGGUAAUACGGAGGAUGCAAGCGUUAUCCGGAAUGAUUGGGCGUAAAGCGUCCGUAGGUGGUUAUGUAAGUCUGUGGUUAAAGCGUGGGGCUCAACCCCAUAAAGGCCAUGGAAACUACAAGACUUGAGUAAAGUAGGGGUAGAGGGAAUUCCCAGUGUAGCGGUGAAAUGCGUAGAGAUUGGGAAGAACACCGGUGGCGAAAGCGCUCUACUGGACUUAAACUGACACUGAGGGACGAAAGCUAGGGGAGCGAAAGGGAUUAGAUACCCCUGUAGUCCUAGCCGUAAACGAUGGAUACUAGGUGUUGCCCGUAUCGACCCGGGCAGUGCCGUAGCUAACGCGUUAAGUAUCCCGCCUGGGGAGUACGCACGCAAGUGUGAAACUCAAAGGAAUUGACGGGGGCCCGCACAAGCGGUGGAGUAUGUGGUUUAAUUCGAUGCAACGCGAAGAACCUUACCAGGGCUUGACAUGUCUGGAAUCUCUGCGAAAGUAGAGAGUGCCUUCGGGAACCAGAACGCAGGUGGUGCAUGGCUGUCGUCAGCUCGUGUCGUGAGAUGUUGGGUUAAGUCCCGCAACGAGCGCAACCCUCGUUUUUAGUUGCCAUCAUUAAGUUGGGCACUCUAGAAAGACUGCCGGUGACAAACCGGAGGAAGGUGGGGAUGACGUCAAGUCAGCAUGCCCCUUACGCCCUGGGCUACACACGUACUACAAUGCUCUGGACAAAGGGCAGCCAACCAGCGAUGGUGCGCUAAUCCCAUAAACCAGGGCUCAGUUCAGAUUGCAGGCUGCAACUCGCCUGCAUGAAAGCGGAAUCGCUAGUAAUCGCAGGUCAGCAUACUGCGGUGAAUCCGUUCCCGGGCCUUGUACACACCGCCCGUCACACCAUGGGAGUUGGUCACGCCCGAAGUCGUUACUCUAACCCUUGUGGAAGAGGACGCCGAAGGUAGGGCUGAUGACUGGGGUGAAGUCGUAACAAGGUAACC
rnacentral:rRNA from 1 species